rnacentral:rRNA from 1 species
AUGAACAAGAUGCUAGAAGCCAACAAUUCGACGCUCGACAACCUCAUGUCCAUCCGUGAUGAGAUCGCGCUUGACCUCGAGCAAGUUAGAGCGGACGUCAACAAGCUCGAGUCCACGGAUCCGGGGCUCAAGCUGGACGGGAGUUCGAUGUCGCACAACGACGACCAAGCUCGUGGAAGCGCUGCCGGCGACGGCCUGGGCUUCGAGGGUGACCACCGCGGGAAGGUGCAUAACAUCUAUGUGCCUCCUUCGGCAAGAGGUGCGCGAGAUCCAAAUCCUUCGCCCAAAUUUUUUUUGCCUCGUGAAUUCUCUGUUUCGGAUGCUGCUGAGUCAUCCCCAUUUUCUAUGCAUAUGGAAAUGCCUCGAUUCGAUGGCACCAAUCCACGGAUGUGGCAAAACCGUUGUGAAGAUCAGUUCAGAUUAUGUAGCGUCCCAGCCCAUAGAUGGAUUUCCUUGGCCACAACUCAAUUUGAAGGAGUUGCGCCGCGUUGGCUGGAAUCUGUUCAACGUCGUAUGCCUAACUCCAAUUGGAAUGAAUUUUGUAAUGCAGUUCAAAGCAGGUUUGACCGUAACCAGCACCAAACUCUCCUGCACAAGUUAUUUUGUAUUGCCCAAACUAGCACAAUGGAGGAUUAUGUGGAUCGCUUCGCGGAGUUGUAUGAUCAGUUAACAGCCUAUGAGGAUUCGCCAAAUGCCCUGCAUUACACCACAAGAUUCCUGGAUGCUCUGAAACCUGGAGUUAGGAUUGCUGUUGCACUGCAGAAAUCCAAGGACUUAGAUGUGGCUUAUGAACUUGCUCUGUUGCAUGAAGAAUUAGGAGAAGGGAUUACACCCAUCAAUAAUUUUCCAGCCAGGCGGAUGUCGUUAGUCUCUUCUGCUGUAACAUCCCCUAAAGUCAGAACUGUAGAUGAUCGGAAGGGGUCUGAAACUGUUAAACCCACCAUAAUGAGGAUAAGUGGUUUACAUUGCAUGAGUAUAUAUAGGAGAUCCAAGUGCCUCUGUUUUGUUUGUGGUGAAAGGUGGUCCAAGGAUGAUGUGUGCAAGUCCAUUGUUCAGCUGCAUUUUGUUUAG